AUGAACGCUUUUAAUAUGCUUAACACAUGCAAGUAACUUAAUGUUUUAUAAUAGUGCAUACGGGCGUAGAGAGUGGAAGUAUUUAAGUUAAUGCUAUUUUGGGUUUUAAGAUAAUCUUCUACAGAAUUAAGUUGUUGGGACGGCCGUAGCGUACCAAGCUAAUGAUUCUUAGCUAUUUUGUGAGAUUGAAUAGUCGCAAUAAAACUGAAAUAAGGUUUGAACUUUAUCGAGGCAGCAGUGAGGAAUAUUGGACAAUGGACGCUAGUCUGAUCCAGCGAUAUUAGCUAAAGGAGUGGAAGGCGGUAGUUGUAAACUUUGGGCAAUAGUUUAAUUAAUGAUUAAAAGUUGUUGUUUAGAACUCCGGCUAAUUUUGU
rnacentral:rRNA from 1 species